rnacentral:misc_RNA from 1 species
AACUUUUAGCAAUGGAUCACUUGGCUCUCGCAUCGAUGAAGAACGCAGCGAAAUGCGAUAAGUAAUGUGAAUUGCAGAAUUCAGUGAAUGAUCGAAUCUUUGAACGCACCUUGCGCUCCUUGGUAUUCCGAGGAGCAUGCCUGUUUGAGUGUCAUUAAUAGAAUCUCAACCCCUUUUUCUUUUUGUUGAAGGGUUUUGGAUGUGGGGGUUUGCUGGCCUUCUUAAAGAGGGUUCAGCUCCCCUGAAAUGCAUUAGCAGAAACGACCUUGCUCAUUGGUGUGAUAACUAUCAACGCUUAUGAAUGUGAGGGGCAGUUCAGCUUUCUAACCGUCUUUGGACAAUUCAUCAUUAAUGUGACCUCAAAUCAGGUAGGACUACCCGCUGAACUUAAGCAUAUCAAUAAGCGGAGGCU